rnacentral:lncRNA from 1 species
UUUAGUUUCAAAAUUUUAUCACUAGCAUGCUAUAAUAGGUUUUUUUUUUUUAUCUUAAAACGAAUAUCAGAUAUAUUGGACGCUAACAGGUGAAGAUAGCUGAUCAGUCUAUCAACACCGGACGGCUCUAGUCGGCCAUCACGAAAUAAUGUUCCGGAACCUAAAGACUAGCUAGGUCUUUAGACGCUGGACUAGGUGGUUUCACAGUGUACACAACCACACUAGCCUCUUACGCCACCAUGCUGGGCCGUUACCGAAUAACGGACCUCUUACGCAGCUCCAAAAGAAUAUCUGAUCCAUUUCCAGUUUCCAAUUUGAUUUGUAUCCAUCCCAUUUUCAAAACCAUUACAUGAUAUUCAUGAAUCAAUACCAUGUCUCAAAGAAUUAUAUCACAGGUUUAGCAAUGAUAAUCACUAAACAUUUUCAGAAUUUGAAUUUCAUCCGGGAUAGAUAUUCACAAGUUACUAUUCCCCUAAAACAAUUUAAAAGAUAUUAAAAUCCAUAGAAACUGGGGAAUACGUACUUAAAACAUUUAAUAUUUGAAUCAUUUGAUAAAGACAUGCAUUCUUGCUCUACAUUAUCCAUAUAUGUAAUCUGAACCAUCAAGAGUAUGAUCAGGGGUACUUGCAAUAUAUCAACAAAGUUCCAGAGUACUUGUAAUAUAUCUAAAAGAAGGUUUCAAGAUACUUGCAUAGUAGGAUUUGAAGAAAGUAUCACUUGAAUGAUAAGUGAGGAUAGGGAUACUUGUACUUUCAAAUAUAUAAGACAGAAAUGGAAUACUUGCCUUUGGUCCUUAGCUUAUACACUCUUAGCUAACAUCCUUAUCUUAUUCUGCUUUCUCAAGACAUCACCAUCAACUAUUCCUGAUUCUUUGCUAUGUCGCUCAUGCGGUUGCUGCAGCCUGAUACGAAAUCUUAUCUAACUUUAAUCUUGAUCCCCAACGUCUGGUUCUAUUUGUCUCGAACAAUCUGUAACUACUGAACCGCUAUACAACUCUCACCUUUUCCUGCCUUUGCUUGGUAGCACGCUCUCAAUGCUCGAUCCUAUUAUAAGCAAAAAGAUACUAUUUUAGUAUCCUUCCGAAACGAGUAUCCUAUUUCUACCCUUUCGUGAUAUAUAUACAUGGCACAUUGUAUAGCACAUAACAAGUAGCACACGUUAUAGUUUUAUAACUUACAACCAACUCAGAAUAUUAUUUAACACGAGAACGCGUAACUUAAGUUAAUAUUUCUACAGAAAAUUCGGCAUGACCUAUUCGUAAAUAGGACUAUCCCCCUGUUUUCAAAUCAAUCAAAUCAAGCUCUUUAAACUAAAUAAAAUACUAAUAUAAAGAAAAUCUGCCUCGACAUGCAGUAAAUCACAUAAGAAAAGUACCCGCCCCGACAUGCGGCACCUAGCACAUAAUGAUAAAUAAUCCGCCCAGACAUGCGGCACCUAAACACAUAAUGAUUGAAAGAAACUAACAGCUUAUCUUUAAAACGGAAAGUAAUUCAAUAUUAAUACAUUAUACUAUCAAGAAUAACACUUUAACAUUUAACACGUAGCACUUAGCAGGUAUCACAUAUUUCCAUACAUUUACUUACCACUUACCAUAAUACUCAAUUUGGGAUACUCUUCAAUUCAAAUAUUCAAAUAUAUACAAGUUGAAUUAAAUAAGCAUAGCGUUAUAACUAUUUAAGAUAUCGCAUAUUUAUAUUAUUAAUAUUAUUAUUUACUAUCAUUAUUACUAGUGAAAGUAAUAAUAAUAAUAAAGAAUAAUACUAAUAUUUAUUAAUAUUCGACAUCUUAAAAAUUACCAAGUAAACACAGUUUCACACAUUAACAUCAAUAAUAAUACUAUGUAGUACUGCUAUUACUACCAAAUCACAUAAAUAUUAUUUAUAGAUUUUAUAGAAAUAUCACAAAUCAGUAACUAUGUAAAUUCGAUUAAUAGUCCGAUAAUUAUAGGAUACGCUCCCGUAUAAUUUUAAAAUCUAAAUUUUAUUUAAAAAAUCGGGCAGCACCUCCUCUAUUUAUCGGACUACCAGUCGAUAUCAUAUCGACACAACAAAUCCCAACAAAACCUGUAAUCAAUCCAAAUAACUUACUUUAUAACUACUAUCCAACAAUCAAUACUCAACCCAACGAACCAACAACCGAAAUAAUAACCAAAAGAGUGUCAAAAUCAGUUUUAUGACUCGAGCCACACAACAAUUUACACAGCCACGUAUAAUCAAUUAACAAACUCGGCCCCACACCAAAAACAUAUACACGCAGCACACGCACACGACUCACAUCAGUGCCUACUCGGUCAACACACACAGUUGACCCACACACCCGAAAACAUAUACACGCUGGUAUACACACACAGACCAGAUUAUACACACACCAAUCGCACACAUAUACAUACAAUAUACAGUAGCCCCAAAACAGAAGAAAACUAGCAGGAAAAGGGGAGAAAAAUAGGAGAGAAACCGGAGGAAGAGGGAGAGAUUGAAGCCGGUGGUGCCCGGGGUCGGAGCAGCGCGGCGACUGGAAGCAGGGGCGGCCGGAAAACGAGGAACCAGCGGCGACUGGGGCGGUAAAUGGCGGCGUCGGAAAGUGAGAGUGGAGAGAGAUCGAGUAAGAGGAGAUUGUGCGAGGGAGAGGAAAUCCGAGAGAGAGAUUACGGGAGAGAGAUUUCAGAGAGAGAGAAGAGCGAGAGAUUGAGAGAGAUGAGGUGAGGUGGAGAGAUUAACAAUAAAAAAAAAAUAAAAGUUUUAUAUACUGAAAGUGUAGGAACCAGACACGUAUCGUAGUUUAGUUAAAAACAUAACGCGUGUCCCCUUCUGGCUAGCCUGGUUCCGAACAAAUUAACGAACAACUCACAGAUAAAAUGAUCCAGAUAAAUACCGAAAGAGUUUUAAAAAUCUUAAAAUAUUUAAAAACUAAUAAAAUAUGAUUUUCAUGAUUUUUAGAUCAUUUUUGAAAUAAAUAGAAAGACCCCACUUGAAUCUAUACGGAAAAUCAUUUAGAGCUGAAGAAUUAUCAAAAUAUUGUUUUAUGAAUUUUAUAAAUCUCUAAAAAUAUUUAAUGAAAUCAUAAAGCGAUAAAAAAAAUGAUUUUAUAUGCAAUACACCAUUUUAUAUAAUUAAAUCAGUAUAAAAUCCAUAACAAAUGCAAAUCGAUAACACAGCUCAACAAUCCAAUAGAAAUAAAAUACACUGACUCUCGAUAAUAUAAUCACAUAAUAAUCAUUUAGAAUUUUUCAAAAUAAUAUAUGAAACUCAAUUUUGAAGAAACAAUUAUAUACCAAUAACACAAUAACCCGGAGUUUAAAUAUAACAUUUUGAAAAUUGAAAUGGAAUAAAAUAUUAAAUCUCAUUCCCUUCCUUUAGAAAAUCACUUUCAUGAUAAUAAAUAGAUUUUAAAAAUUCAGGUCAUUACAAUCUACCCUCCUUAUAAGGAUUCCGUCCUCGGAAUCAAAGAAAGAAGGAGGACACGUAAUCUACUAAUCCACGAAACAUAUAUAGACCAUCACACAAUAUUCAAUUAAAGACAACCAUAAUAUAUAAACAAAUUAGACCUAUAAUAAUCAUAUCUGAAUUAAAAAUCUAGGAUAUUACAUUCAACCCCCCUUAUAAGGAUUCUGUCCUCAGAAUCCGCGAAGAGAACUAAAACAUACACGCUUCGCAAUAUCGUAUCGUCAUCCACUAUUGAUUAACCUUGGCAUACCCUCAACUUUAAGGGUAUAGGAAUCUUAAAAUUUUCGCAAAUGCAGAAUUAACUUUCCGGAAUAAUUCUUUGAGAAUUUGGCCAUAAAACAAAAAUGUUUUCAAAAUAGGUUUCAUCUGAAUAAACGAGUGACUGAGAGAUCAAUAUGAUCCAACGAACUUAGUGUUGCGUGCCCAUAUUAGACACUACUAAAGGUUAUCAGCCUUCUUGUAAUCACAACACACACAAGUGAUGGCGUCCCAUCAAACUUCUAUCACACAGACAGAUAGUCCUUGUGUCCCCUAUAGUAGGGUUGUUCAUCUCAGUUAGAGUGGAAAAUAUGAAAAUUUUAAAAUCAACCAACAAUGAUUGACUUUUAAGAAAUGAAUCUUUAAUAUGAACCUUAAGAGUUGAAAUCGAAUAGCUUCCAAAGAUACAAAUUUUUGACAAAGGGACUUCAUGAAUGUCUUUAUAGAAGAGAUAUUAAAACAAUUCACUAACUGUGAAAAUGCUCAAUAAAAUCAAUAUUGAGGAUGGUAUUGCCAAGGCUAUCACAUAUGUCUUCUCGAUCGAUUUUUCUGAUAACUCGUUUCGAUUCUACGAUAUAUAUUAUUAACUUAUAUUCACCUUCGUAGAUCCCGUCACCCAUAUCCACGUUAGGUAGAACACCUGUCGAGCUUGGUACUUUCAGAAGUCAUAUCCAACUUUGCACAAUCAGCAGUGUAGAGCAUUGAGGUUGUAACCUACUCAUAAUACUAUAUCGAGUAGUCUACCACUCUUUCUAUAUAAUUUUCAAAUAAAGAACUAUACACCUGGCCUCUCACAAUGAUCCAUCAAAUCUCAUAUUCCUUCUAUAUGACUUCAUAAGAAUAAUAGAUGACCCUCGAACAAAUACUCAAAAAGUGGUAGAGAUGACAAGGAACACUCAAGACUAGAUAGGUCAAUACACAAGUCUAGCUGCCUCUGGUUACUCAGAAAGUCAAACUCAAGUUCAAAAAGAUUGAAAACUAAAGGUUCCAUCAUGUCCCUGAAAUCCAACUCACUAGUUCUCGAAUUAGAAACUAGGAUAUCCCAAAUGAUUACUUGAAAUCAAUGCUCCAAUAUCUACCUCAAUUCUAUCAACAAAGACUAUACCAAAUAGUCUUGACUUAUCUCUAGUUGAGGUCCCACUAAACACAAUCCUAAUACAACCUACAUUCUGAUUUCAAUAACUUAUAACCUGUAGCUCUGAUACCAACUGUGACAGCCCGCAAAUCCGGGGGUCUGGAUUUGGUGCCACUAAAAGAAAAACAAUUUAAAAUCUGUAAUUUUUUUUUUUUUUUUUUUUUUUUGAAAGAAAGUAAUAACAAACAUUUCAAAACCCUGAGGUUUUUUUUUUUUUUCUUUUCUAUAUAAGGUUUUGAAGAAAGACACUUUUGAACCUUUUAAAACACUUUUGAAAAACUAUAUUUCUGAAAACCAAAUAAUUUAAAACCUGAAAGCAUUAAUAAAAGGUUUAAAAGGAAACACUUUAACCCCCUAAAAACAGGAUCGCAUCCAGGUUACAGUAUUGAAAUCAGAAAACAAACAACCUGAUCUCUGAUGUACUUAACCACUUAGAAUCCUUGCAGCUUAGCAUCACUCUCAUACGCAGCCUAAUCUGAUAAUCCAUCUCUAGCCUUAGCUGAAAGGUUUAGAAUUGAAAAGCAAGAAUGAGCUAAAAUACUCAGCAAGUUCUAGUAGUAAAACAGUUGUAUGAAGAUAGUUUGCAAGGGUAAGUUAUCAAAUGCUCGGCAGUACCAAUAGGAAUAAACAAGAUAUAUGAUCGUAAAAUUGUUUAUAAGAGCAAGAGUAUAGCAAUCAUGCAUGCUUUGAGUAUAAAGCAGUCACCAUCAUUUGAUAUAAGAAAACUGGAAAUCAACUUUUAUUAGCAUGCUCAAAAAUGUGAUAAUCAUAAGUUUUAGUUUCAAAAUUUUAUCACUAGCAUGCUAUAAUACAUUUUUUUAUCUUAAAACGAAUAUCAGAUAUAUUGGACGCUAACAGGUGAAGAUAGCUGAUCAGUCUAUCAACACCGGACGGCUCUAGUCGGCCAUCACGAAAUAAUGUUCCGGAACCUAAAGACUAGCUAGGUCUUUAGACGCUGGACUAGGUGGUUUCACAGUGUACACAACCACACUAGCCUCUUACGCCACCAUGCUGGGCCGUUACCGAAUAACGGACCUCUUACGCAGCUCCAAAAGAAUAUCUGAUCCAUUUCCAGUUUCCAAUUUGAUUUGUAUCCAUCCCAUUUUCAAAACCAUUACAUGAUAUUCAUGAAUCAAUACCAUGUCUCAAAGAAUUAUAUCACAGGUUUAGCAAUGAUAAUCACUAAACAUUUUCAGAAUUUGAAUUUCAUCCGGGAUAGAUAUUCACAAGUUACUAUUCCCCUAAAACAAUUUAAAAGAUAUUAAAAUCCAUAGAAACUGGGGAAUACGUACUUAAAACAUUUAAUAUUUGAAUCAUUUGAUAAAGACAUGCAUUCUUGCUCUACAUUAUCCAUAUAUGUAAUCUGAACCAUCAAGAGUAUGAUCAGGGGUACUUGCAAUAUAUCAACAAAGUUCCAGAGUACUUGUAAUAUAUCUAAAAGAAGGUUUCAAGAUACUUGCAUAGUAGGAUUUGAAGAAAGUAUCACUUGAAUGAUAAGUGAGGAUAGGGAUACUUGUACUUUCAAAUAUAUAAGACAGAAAUGGAAUACUUGCCUUUGGUCCUUAGCUUAUACACUCUUAGCUAACAUCCUUAUCUUAUUCUGCUUUCUCAAGACAUCACCAUCAACUAUUCCUGAUUCUUUGCUAUGUCGCUCAUGCGGUUGCUGCAGCCUGAUACGAAAUCUUAUCUAACUUUAAUCUUGAUCCCCAACGUCUGGUUCUAUUUGUCUCGAACAAUCUGUAACUACUGAACCGCUAUACAACUCUCACCUUUUCCUGCCUUUGCUUGGUAGCACGCUCUCAAUGCUCGAUCCUAUUAUAAGCAAAAAGAUACUAUUUUAGUAUCCUUCCGAAACGAGUAUCCUAUUUCUACCCUUUCGUGAUAUAUAUACAUGGCACAUUGUAUAGCACAUAACAAGUAGCACACGUUAUAGUUUUAUAACUUACAACCAACUCAGAAUAUUAUUUAACACGAGAACGCGUAACUUAAGUUAAUAUUUCUACAGAAAAUUCGGCAUGACCUAUUCGUAAAUAGGACUAUCCCCCUGUUUUCAAAUCAAUCAAAUCAAGCUCUUUAAACUAAAUAAAAUACUAAUAUAAAGAAAAUCUGCCUCGACAUGCAGUAAAUCACAUAAGAAAAGUACCCGCCCCGACAUGCGGCACCUAGCACAUAAUGAUAAAUAAUCCGCCCAGACAUGCGGCACCUAAACACAUAAUGAUUGAAAGAAACUAACAGCUUAUCUUUAAAACGGAAAGUAAUUCAAUAUUAAUACAUUAUACUAUCAAGAAUAACACUUUAACAUUUAACACGUAGCACUUAGCAGGUAUCACAUAUUUCCAUACAUUUACUUACCACUUACCAUAAUACUCAAUUUGGGAUACUCUUCAAUUCAAAUAUUCAAAUAUAUACAAGUUGAAUUAAAUAAGCAUAGCGUUAUAACUAUUUAAGAUAUCGCAUAUUUAUAUUAUUAAUAUUAUUAUUUACUAUCAUUAUUACUAGUGAAAGUAAUAAUAAUAAUAAAGAAUAAUACUAAUAUUUAUUAAUAUUCGACAUCUUAAAAAUUACCAAGUAAACACAGUUUCACACAUUAACAUCAAUAAUAAUACUAUGUAGUACUGCUAUUACUACCAAAUCACAUAAAUAUUAUUUAUAGAUUUUAUAGAAAUAUCACAAAUCAGUAACUAUGUAAAUUCGAUUAAUAGUCCGAUAAUUAUAGGAUACGCUCCCGUAUAAUUUUAAAAUCUAAAUUUUAUUUAAAAAAUCGGGCAGCACCUCCUCUAUUUAUCGGACUACCAGUCGAUAUCAUAUCGACACAACAAAUCCCAACAAAACCUGUAAUCAAUCCAAAUAACUUACUUUAUAACUACUAUCCAACAAUCAAUACUCAACCCAACGAACCAACAACCGAAAUAAUAACCAAAAGAGUGUCAAAAUCAGUUUUAUGACUCGAGCCACACAACAAUUUACACAGCCACGUAUAAUCAAUUAACAAACUCGGCCCCACACCAAAAACAUAUACACGCAGCACACGCACACGACUCACAUCAGUGCCUACUCGGUCAACACACACAGUUGACCCACACACCCGAAAACAUAUACACGCUGGUAUACACACACAGACCAGAUUAUACACACACCAAUCGCACACAUAUACAUACAAUAUACAGUAGCCCCAAAACAGAAGAAAACUAGCAGGAAAAGGGGAGAAAAAUAGGAGAGAAACCGGAGGAAGAGGGAGAGAUUGAAGCCGGUGGUGCCCGGGGUCGGAGCAGCGCGGCGACUGGAAGCAGGGGCGGCCGGAAAACGAGGAACCAGCGGCGACUGGGGCGGUAAAUGGCGGCGUCGGAAAGUGAGAGUGGAGAGAGAUCGAGUAAGAGGAGAUUGUGCGAGGGAGAGGAAAUCCGAGAGAGAGAUUACGGGAGAGAGAUUUCAGAGAGAGAGAAGAGCGAGAGAUUGAGAGAGAUGAGGUGAGGUGGAGAGAUUAACAAUUAAAAAAAAUAAAAGUUUUAUAUACUGAAAGUGUAGGAACCAGACACGUAUCGUAGUUUAGUUAAAAACAUAACGCGUGUCCCCUUCUGGCUAGCCUGGUUCCGAACAAAUUAACGAACAACUCACAGAUAAAAUGAUCCAGAUAAAUACCGAAAGAGUUUUAAAAAUCUUAAAAUAUUUAAAAACUAAUAAAAUAUGAUUUUCAUGAUUUUUAGAUCAUUUUUGAAAUAAAUAGAAAGACCCCACUUGAAUCUAUACGGAAAAUCAUUUAGAGCUGAAGAAUUAUCAAAAUAUUGUUUUAUGAAUUUUAUAAAUCUCUAAAAAUAUUUAAUGAAAUCAUAAAGCGAUAAAAAAAAUGAUUUUAUAUGCAAUACACCAUUUUAUAUAAUUAAAUCAGUAUAAAAUCCAUAACAAAUGCAAAUCGAUAACACAGCUCAACAAUCCAAUAGAAAUAAAAUACACUGACUCUCGAUAAUAUAAUCACAUAAUAAUCAUUUAGAAUUUUUCAAAAUAAUAUAUGAAACUCAAUUUUGAAGAAACAAUUAUAUACCAAUAACACAAUAACCCGGAGUUUAAAUAUAACAUUUUGAAAAUUGAAAUGGAAUAAAAUAUUAAAUCUCAUUCCCUUCCUUUAGAAAAUCACUUUCAUGAUAAUAAAUAGAUUUUAAAAAUUCAGGUCAUUACAAU